AUGACAGACAUAGAAGCUGAAGUCCUCUAUUUAUCACAGAACCGGUACAUCAUAGGCAGUGCAAGUUUCCUUCAGCCCCACAACUGUGCUUCAACUCCUUUAUAAUAACUUAUAACAAUAAAUAAUAUGCAGGUAUAUCAUGCUUUUUAGCACAGAUCUCAAAGUUCUUGCCAGA
ensembl:misc_RNA